CCUACGGGAGGCAGCAGUGGGGAAUAUUGGACAAUGGGCGAAAGCCUGAUCCAGCCAUGCCGCGUGUGUGAAGAAGGCCUUCGGGUUGUAAAGCACUUUCAGUGGGGAAGAAAGCCUUGGGGCUAAUACCCUCGAGGAAGGACAUCACCCACAGAAGAAGCACCGGCUAACUCCGAGCCAGCAGCCGCGGUAAUACGGAGGGUGCGAGCGUUAAUCGGAAUUACUGGGCGUAAAGCGCGCGUAGGCGGUCUGAUAAGCCGGUUGUGAAAGCCCCGGGCUCAACCUGGGAGCGGCAUCCGGAACUGUCAGGCUAGAGUGCAGGAGAGGAAGGUAGAAUUCCCGGUGUAGCGGUGAAAUGCGUAGAGAUCGGGAGGAAUACCAGUGGCGAAGGCGGCCUUCUGGACUGACACUGACGCUGAGGUGCGAAAGCGUGGGUAGCAAACAGGAUUAGAUACCCUUGUAGUC
rnacentral:rRNA from 1 species